UUAAGUGUUGAUCAAGACGAGGAAUCUACGCCAACUUGUGAUGCUACCUCUUCUAGCGCGGUUUCACAGCGCAGAAGCGGUGUGCCUUCAUAGCAGGGUCAAUUCACCCGUAAGUACCAGGCACAAUGGAAGGAUGACCUCUCAAUGUUCACAAACAUUGAGGCUGCAAGGAUUAUAACAUCGGCGUUUAAAUCGUCGAUGGAGAUUCCAUUAUUUCAAUGGGGCCAGGUUUCCAGACAUCCUGAGUAAAAACCUAAUAUCGAUGCAUGGUUUAAGCGAUUUCAGAAAAAAUUUGAGUGGGGUAGGGCGGACAACAAUGUUGUGAGGAAGGUAUGGGAGAAUCACGCGGCAACUAGGUA